UGAUUUUCAGUUGACUGAGCGGCGGACGGGUGAGUAACGCGUGGGUGACCUGCCCCAUACCGGGGGAUAACAGCUGGAAACGGCUGCUAAUACCGCAUAAGCGCACAGUGCUGCAUGGCACAGUGUGAAAAACUCCGGUGGUAUGAGAUGGACCCGCGUCUGAUUAGCUGGUUGGUGGGGUAACGGCCUACCAAGGCGACGAUCAGUAGCCGACCUGAGAGGGUGAUCGGCCACACUGGAACUGAGACACGGUCCAGACUCC
rnacentral:rRNA from 1 species